UCGGACGUGGUGCACGGUGCACACCCUCUUCCUAUAGCAUGGUCUUCAAUGGCUCACAGCGGGAGCUCUGGGUUCGAUUCCCAGCGUCCGAA